UAUUCCUCAUGUCCUGGAAUUUGGGGGCUCACCACUGAAUCCUGGGGAAGCAGUUGACAGAGAGCCUGUCUGAGCAUGAGGACCUCCAGUUCCCAGGUGAGCACCUGCUUGGAACCACAGGCACAAAUCCGCAGGCAUGGAUGCUGAUGGAAAGCAAGUGCCCCACGGAAGGAGUAACUAGAGCAACCACUCAGCAGAGGAGGACAUUCUGGCUCCGAGAAGGUGAGGAAUGUCUGAAGUCACACCUGCCAUUCUUGUCUGAAAGUGGCAGAGCCAAGAUUCAUCUGAUUUCAUCAGGUCCCCAGAGCCUGCUCCUUUGACCACACUAGCCGCCACAUGAGGAUCCCAUCACAAAAGUACAUGCUGUGUCUCAAUGAUGGCAUCAAAUACACAUGCAGGAGAAAGAGGAUGGCAGGAGCGAAGGCCCUCUAUGCUUAGCGACAGUGAAGGUGACGGGGGACGACGUCUGCUGAGAAAGACAUUUCUCUUUAUCAGGUUGAGGGUUCUUGGGCCCCUGAGUACCAUGUAGCUCCCUCCUGGGGACAGAGGAGGGUGGACAGUGCAUGGACCUGCCAUAGGAGAGUGUCACCUCGCACAGCCUGGUGCCCGAGAGCUGGGGACUGUGCCCGCAGCUCUGUGUGGCUGCACUGUGGGGAAACGUGAUGGUGAGAUGGAGCAGAAACGGAGCUGAUCCCUUGGUGGUGAGGUUUCUGUCCAGGACCAGUUGCUGUCAGUCAUGUGUCUGAGGUUCCCUCCAAACAACUGUUUUUUGUUGUUUUGUUUGUUUGUUUGUGUUUUUGACAGAGUCUCGCUCUGUUACCCAGGCUGAAGUGCAGUGGCACUAUCUUGGCUCACUGCAACCUCCGCCUCUUGGGUUCAAAUGAUUCCCCUGCCUCAGCCUCCCGAGUGGCUGGAAUUACAGGCACCCACCGCCACGCCUGGCAAAUUUUUGUAUUUUUAUUGGAGAUGGGGUUUCACCAUGUUGGCCAGUAUGGUCUCAAACUCCUGACCUGAAGUAAUCUGCCCGCCUUGGCCUCCCAAAAUGUUGAGAUUACAGGCGUGAGCCACUGCCCCCGGCCCACACACAACUGUUUUUUUUCAACCCUGAAUUAGAAUUUAAGCAAGGAACAAAGGGAAAAUUGUCAAUGCUGAAAAACUGGAAAAGCAAAUGGGUUGAGGCUGCACACGGUGGCUCAGGCCUGUAAUCCCAACACUUGGGAGGCUGAGGCAGGAGGAUGGAUUGAGCCCAGAAUUUUGAGACCAACCUGGGCAACAUAGCGAGAAUCUGUCUUUACAAAAAAUUAAAAAAUUAGCCAGGCAUGGUGGCAGGCACCCGUACUUCCAGCUACUCUAGCGGCUGAGGUGGGAGGAUCGCUUGAGCCCAGGUGAUGGAGGCUGCCAUGAGCGGUGAUCACACCAUUGCUCGCCAGCCUGUGUGACAGAGCGAGACUCUGUCUCUACUAAAAAUUUUAAAAGUUAGCUGGGCGUGGUGGUGCAUGCCUGCAGUCCCAGCUAGUUGGGAGGAUCAACGUCUCUUCACUACAGCCUGGGUGACAGAGUGAGAACCCAUCUCAAAAAGUAAAAAUAAAAAAAGGGUAGAGUCGCCAAAGCUUGGGGAAAAGAGAGCACAGAGAAGGAAAGUAAUAUUUGCUGAGCAUCUACUAUGUGCAAGGAGCUUUAGAUGAUAUUUUCAUGCAGUGCAACUGAUACUCACUUUACACGUGUGCACGCCAGUGUCCUGAGGAUCCAAGGAACUUGCUCUAGUUUCCACAACUAGCAAGUCCCAGAGAGAGAUUCUAACCUCAGCUACCUGGAUCCAAGCUGGGCCGUGUUCUCUCUUCCAAGGGUUUGGCUCGAUGCUGGGCGGUGUCCAGGGUGGGACGGGUCUCUGGGGCAUCCCCUACCUCACUGCUGUCACCCCACCUGCCUUUUCAUGUCUUGGCUGCCCGGUGCCAUUGUCCCCUAUGUGAGGGUCUCCCUCUCCCUGACACCGGAUCCUGCAUGAGAGGCAGUUCGUUCCCCUCCCUGAGAAGCUUGGCUCAAUGCCCAUGUACAUUUGGGGCGAGUUAGAGAUCACACAGUGUCCGGUGAAAGGUGGAAUAAAUAAAUGAGUGACUGACCAUGGCCCUCCCGAUCUUUCGUAGAUUUCUGUUUUGCGUCACUGGCCUAGGCAAGCACUUAAUAGUUAAACGGUUUCUCCACUCCCAGCCGGUUUUUGUUUUCUUUCUUCUUUGUUUUCUUUCCUUUCCUCUCCCACCCACCCCAUUUGUUGUGGUGCCUACUUUGAACUUGUCAUCAGCAAUGGUGAAUUCAGGAAUAAAAGGCGACAGAAGCACAGGAAUUGGCACUUCUCUGUGUCCCUGGGCAGCGCAUGGCCUGGUUGUUCUGCUGUGACCUUUGGCCUAUGACACCAGGAUGAGGAUAAACAGGUAUACACAGUCCCUGCGGCCUUUGUGAACAGAGGGCGUUUGCAAAAGACAGUUGUGUGCUGUUUCUUUCUGAGUAACUUCCGUGGAGUCCCACUGCCCUGGAGAAAGAGGACAGGAUGUGAGGGUCUGUGCAGCAAGUGGGCAGAAGGCAGCACCUGCUCCUCAUUGUCAAAAUCUGAGAAGGACUUGGAACUGGAAGAAAAACAAACCCCUGGGGACGGAUUGGAACCAGGGCUAGGAAGGAGCUGCAGCUGGUGGGCGGGAGAGGUGGCAGGAUGGGUAGCCAGGGCCUGGAUUGUUGCUCCCUCAGCACGUGCUGGCCUCAGUGCAGGGAGGACUUGUUGCAGGCUCAGAGACAGAUUUCCACCUGCAGGAUCUUGGCAGACCCACUCAAGGCCUGCUCUGCUCCUUUCCCACCUGCCUGGACGAGGCGUCUCAAAGCUGCUGGAAUCUCCGAGAUGGGCAGAAGCCCAUGGGCUGGGGCAAUGCGUUUCUACUGCGCUUUGUCUCAAAUGCUGAGUGGAUGAUGCUGCUUGGUGUCUGGGGAGCAUGUGUAAACCUCAAACUUUUCUAAACCCUGGCUUUGUCGUGGCAGCCUUGUGGAACCGUGCAAUCAUAGCGUACCAUUUCUGUAAUGAGAACCAUUUCCCGAAUAUUAAGCUGGGCGCAGAUCGCGUAUCUUAACAGGGAAGAGAAGAAUCUCUCAAUUUUGUUAAAUAAAUAUAUUUAACAAGAGUUUAGGUAUAUAAACACAUAGAGGCACACAUGUCUAUGAGUGUUUGUAUGUAUGUAUAUAUACCUGUGUGGGGAAAACACUCUAGAAAGCAACAUAUCACAAAGUUAAACAACUUUACCCUUGGUGGCAGUUGUUUUCCCUUUAUUUUCCAUUUUCAAAAUUGUCUAAAAUAAAA
rnacentral:lncRNA from 1 species